GCUUCAGCGGGUAUUGAGUUUGGUUUUAUCAUUGAGUGUAGUGGAGGACCGACUGCAGACUGGCUCCCUCUCCUCUCCACUCCUCUCACUCGACUCCAGAGCUCUACUUUGUCCCGUCAAGAUCCACAGGGUACAACCAUGGAGGAAAUGGACUUUGAGCGGCGCCGGGAGCUGAGGAGGCAGAAGCGGGAAGAGAUGCGCCUGGAGGCUGAGAGGAUGGCAAGGAAUGAUGAUGAUGACGAGGAGGCGGCCCGCGAGAGGAGGCGCAGGGCACGUCAGGAGAGGCUGAAGAGCAGGGAGAGCGAGGAGCCCAGCGGCCAGCCGGACAGCCUGGUUAUGACCAACAGCCACAGUGUCACAGAGACAGUGUCUGUGAGCAGCUCUUAUGGAGGCGGUGGAGAUGACGAAGACCAGGCCCUGCUGGACCGCAUGGCCAAACGCGAGGAGAGACGGCAGAGACGCAUGAAGGAGGCGCUGGAGAGACAGAAGCAGCUGGACCCCACUGAGACGGAGGGCAACGACAGCACCGCCACGGAGAAACACAGCGCAGAAGAGGAGAGGCCCUCCUCCUGGCGUAGGGGCCGUUACCGUGACAAUGAUGACGAAGUGGAGAAGAUGGCGACCUAUAGCUCAAGAAGAGAGGAGGAGAAGGCACGAGAGGAGCCAAGGGAGGAAGAGCAGGCUGAGGGGGGAGAGGAAGAAGAAGCGGAGGGCAUAGAUGAAGAGGAAGAGCAGAAAGUUGCAGUCAUGGAGGACAAACCGAGAAGAUCUUACUUGAGAGAACAGGCGUCAACUGAAGAGCCUAAAAUGCAAAACAAGGACCUCGCUGAAGAAGAAAGCCAUUCGGUAGUCAGUGAAAGUUCAAAUCAGGCCAAGUCAUCAAAUUCAGAGGCUGAGGUGGAUGCAGUAGCAUCAGGGAAGGCUGAAGAGGUGAAUGAGAGGGCCGAGGCCAGAGAGGAGAGGGAGGAUCAGAGGAAGCACAAUGGAGGGCUGCAUGAGGAGGCGGCUCCCAAACAGCACAGGAAACCUGAGAGGACCCCCAGCCGCGGCAGCGUGCGCUCCCCCGAGCCUUCUCUAGGAGACGACCCGGACGAGGACGCCCGCCUGGAAGCGGAGCGCAAGCUGGAGGAGCUGAAGCGGCGCCGCGAUGACGCGGAGAGCGAAGAGUUUGAGAGGAUGAGGCAGAAGCAGCAAGAGGCCGAAGCUGAGCUGGAGGAACUGAAAAGGAAGAGAGAGGAGAGGAGAAAGGUGCUGGAGGAGGAGGAGAGGCAGAAGAAGCAGGAGGAGGCAGAAAGGAAAGCCAAAGAGGAGGAGGAGAAAAGGAAGAUGAAAGAGGAGAUCGAAAGGAGGAGAGCAGAGGCGGCUGAGAAGAGACAGAAGGUGGAAGACACUACGGAUGGAGAGGGCAAACCAUUCAAGUGUCUCAGCCCUCGAGGAUCCUCUCUGAAGAUUGAGGAGAGAGCAGAGUUUCUGAACAGGUCAGCACAGAAAAGCACAGUGAAGACAGCUCAUUGUGGUGUGGUGUCCAAGAUAGACAACAGGCUGGAGCAGUACACCUCAGCUGCUCAGAGAGAGAACAGGGAGUCUCGAUCCCCUCGCUCCGGAGCUGUGGAUCUGCCCAUGGUCACUGACAGCAUACGAAACAUCAAGAGCAUGUGGGAGAAAGGCAACGUGUUCGGCUCGCCUGGAAGUGGCGGAAGCACAUUCAAGGAAGCAGCUGUGAUGAAGACAGGCGUAGCGGGCCGCAUCAACGACUGGCUGAAUAAAACCCCAGAGAGCAGCAAGACACCAGGAGGAAGGCCAGCGGACCUGAAGCCUGUUGACGUCACCAACAAGAGGAGUCUAUGGGAAAACAAAGGCGCCUCUCCAGCCAAGAAUUCUCAUAGCUAGUUGACCUCAGCAUUAAAUCUGGAAUAAGCCUGGAGAGGUGGCAGGCAGAGGGGAGACCAAAUCAGUUGCUAAUGGUAUGGGACACUAAUGUCUUGAAGGAGCCACUGAAGCUGGGGACCACGACAAUCCAAGACUCUUCUUUGACUUUUCCUUAAGAACCAAAUACCAGACCCCCAGGAGGGACCCCAAGAGCACGCAGGGACAGGACAGAUACUGUCCGAGCACUGUACCGAAACAGCAUCAGCAUAUUUUUAUAGACUUACUUACUUAUUGCAAUGAUUUUUGCUUUCUAAAAAACAAAAAGAACAUAACAACAAAAAUGCUGUGAAAUUUGGACACUUUUAAUUACUAAUUACUUUAUAAAAUCCUGCCUGGAAGACAAAAAAAAAAACUAAUAAAAUUAAGAUUUAUCUUUUUUACUCCAUGCUGAGUGGAUGAGUUUAAAAGUUUCCACAUUCCAAAGAGAUGGACGAUAUCAGUUCUCUCCCUCAGAAUAUUUUCCAUCUCUCUCUUUUUUUUUUAUUUAUAUUUAAAGCAAAAGCUUCACACAUUGCUAUGUUAUUCAACGUUCACCUGUUCAGGAUAGAAAUAUAAGCACUUCUAGAGUUUAGCUGAUUUCACUCUUUAUGUCUUACCAAUAGUGCAGCAAUGGUCUGAGUAAUAUAUGCUAGCACAUGUGAUGUUUUGACUAUGAUCUAUCAUACUGUAUCAUAUAUAACAUCUGUAUACUCAUAACAAAAAGGUAUUGUGCUUUUUUUUUUUUUUUAAAUUCAUUCACCAACAGGCAGGUAAUUUUGAAGGUGAGGAGUGUCGGACAUCCAGAAGGCCAUUUUGACUUAUUAUCCUUACAUGUAAUUUUUUUUUAUUUAUGUUUUAAUGUGUUCUGUUUUUUCCGGAGUUCUUUCCAGCUUUCGAUCGCUUUAAAAUCUUCAGACAUUCCGCUUGAAAGCAGGUGCACAUGGUGGCUUCGCUGCUUAAAGGCUGUAGGUUUUAUAAUGUAGGAUAUGGGCAAAAACCAGCCGUUUUUGUUUUUUUUUUAAUCUGCCUUUAGCUUGGUUUUGUUGCCUCUAUGCACACUCUUAUGCUCAGCAAUACUUUUCAUAUUGAGGGCAUACAAAGUAAAAUCAGGGUGCCUAAGCAUAUAGCAAGAUCGUAGUACAAGGAUAUUUACCACUAUGUAAAACUUCUGGCCUUAUGAUUGCAACAGUAACAUUUACAACAGCCGAGGCACAGUACAUUAAAGCCUCCUAGCAACUCAGUGUGAUCCUGAGUGACUUGUGAUUUUCACAUUUUUGCGCAGCGCACGCUUAUAAGAAUAUGAACGCAUGUUUGUCAGGGCAUUAAAUUGAUCGAUAUUACUGCUCAACAAUCUGACAAUCACAUUCCAUGGCUCCUGAAAAGAGCAGGGGAGCUGGACCAAAAUAUUUUUAAGCAUGAUAAAAAUGUGACUUUUUUUGUAUUACUUUUUUAAAUACAGUGGUUUCAUAAUGUUGUAUUUUUUUUUCUACAGCCUUGUGUCCAUUUUUUUAAUUUCCAUGUUUAACCAGACACUUGUUUCUUGUGUAGCGCUAAGCCUAUGCAGAAUACACUAUCUGUAGUCUCUCUCCCAAUGUCAUACAAGCAAGCAGUUUCCAAGUGGAGGAAUGUGUUGAAUAUUGUAACCUUGACUCAACAACAGCAAUAAAGACAUUGAUGGUAUUCCA